rnacentral:lncRNA from 1 species
UAUCAGAAGCUGCGGACACAAGACCAUGACUAUGGAGAGGACCUCACACACCUUCUAUGGACUAGCAUGCAUGAAGCUGGGGCUUUUGGCUCUGGAGGCUGCUGGUCCUGGAGCUGGAAGAUGCUGAGGAGCCUAUUCUCUACUUGGUGAGAUAUACACAGUACCCAGGUACAUCCUGGCCCCGAAGGCAGAAUGGAGUCAAGCAGUGACACAAAUAGGUGACCACAGCUUGGAUUUGAGAGGCUGGACGGGCAGUGUGUGCUGCUUCUUUGGAGCAAGAUAUAUGAAGUCUGAAAGUGAGAUCUGUGUUAAUUUCCUGUAAGAGAUGAAAUGUAAAGGAACAGAAGGAAGCCACUGUUGUCACUUGUUGCUUGCUGCUUGCUGUCUCCUGCCUGCCUGCUCUGUGAUGCCCCUCUGCCAUGCCACCCUGCAUUGGAGCCAGCCAUCUGUGAACUGAAAUCUCUACAAACUGCGGAUGUGUCAUGGCUCAGUCAACAACAAGCACAAUUAUCCUUAACCCGAGGACAUAUACUAAUAAGCCACCUACUGCAUGUUUCAGUUAUCAGGAAUGUUAGGAAAAACAGAAAAAUGCUGAAACUUGCCAAGCUUCAGGACAUCUGAUUUGAC